rnacentral:rRNA from 1 species
AGUGAACGCUGGCGGUAGGCCUAACACAUGCAAGUCGAACGGCAGCACAGUAAGAGCUUGCUCUUACGGGUGGCGAGUGGCGGACGGGUGAGGAAUACAUCGGAAUCUACUCUUUCGUGGGGGCUAACGUAGGGAAACUUACGCUAAUAUCGCAUACGACCUACGGGUGAAAGCAGGGGAUCUUCGGACCUUGCGCGAUUGAAUGAGCCGAUGUCGGAUUAGCUAGUUGGCGGGGUAAAGGCCCACCAAGGCGACGAUCCGUAGCUGGUCUGAGAGGAUGAUCGGCCACACUGGAACUGAGACACGGUCCAGACUCCUACGGGAGGCAGCAGUGGGGAAUAUUGGACAAUGGGCGCAAGCCUGAUCCAGCCAUACCGCGUGGGUGAAGAAGGCCUUCGGGUUGUAAAGCCCUUUUGUUGGGAAAGAAAAGCAGCAGGUUAAUACCCCGCUGUUCUGACGGUACCCAAAGAAUAAGCACCGGCUAACUUCGUG